GUGGUGCCACAGAUGGUGCGGAAGCUGCUGCAGCUGCUGGAGAUGGAGCAGGAGACUGAGAGCGAGAGCGGCGGGUUUCCCCUGGCCGCGGCCACGGUGCUGCACAAGAUGCUGGAUUGCCGCAGGUACAGCACGCAGGUGUGCCUGCUCUUCCCAGAGUUCUUCGUGGCGCUCAUCUUCCAGCUCAAGCGGUCCGGGGAGCUCGCUUCCGAGGAGGACAGGGCUAUGUAUGUGAACGAGUGGGCCCCGUUCGAGCCUCCCCCCGCCACCAGGACGUUGGUGGAGGCGGCGCUCCGUUUGCUCUGGUGGAUGGAGCUGGAAGACCUGAAGAGCACCAUGACCAGACUGGAGAUGUGGAGGUGGCUGUUGUGCGGUGAUGAGUGGCAGAGCGCCGUGCCGGACAUCAGCGAGAUGAUGCUGAGUUCCUGCCGGGAUCAGUGCGCCCGCAUAUUCAGCCACCUGCAGAAGCUGCUGCUGCACCCUGAGCUGCGGUGGAGGGAGGUCCCCGCCUUAACAUUCUACACAGAGGUGCGUCCCCUCGGGGGGUUGAGGGGGCUGAGCCCUGCCCCUCCCACCCUGCCGCCCACUCACCACCACGCGUUACAGCUGUGGAGCUGCGAGGAGCUGCGGGACGAGGACACCUGCGCGGAGGAGAUCUUUAGGAAAUACAUCUGCAGCGAGAAGCCCAGGAGCAGGGAGCUGGCGCUGCGCGGGCUGCGGGGCCUGUAUGC
rnacentral:lncRNA from 1 species